AUACCCUAUUAUUUUUAUCGUAAAAUGUAUUAAGCUUGAGUAUUAAUAGUUAUGAUCUUUAAACUUAAAGAAUUUGGCGGUAUUAUAGUCUAUUUAGAGGAAUCUGUUAUGUAAUCGAUAGUCCACGUUGAACCUUACUUAUAUAAUUUUUUGUAUACCGCUGUUUAUGAAAAUACUUUUAGGUUAUUUUCUAAAUAUUUAAUUUUCUAAAAUUUCAAGUCAAGGUGCAGAAAUAUAUAAGUUGAAUAAUGGAUUACAAUAAAUUUUAUUUAUUAUGGAUUAUUAUUGCAAUAUAAUUUUGAAGGUGGAUUUAAUUGUAAUUUUAUAAAGAUUAUUAAAAUGAUUUUUAGCUCUAUAAUAUGUACACAUCGCCC
rnacentral:rRNA from 1 species